UGCUAUUGAAUUACUACUGAAUAAGAUGGAUCCUGUCUCUCCAGAAAGAAGGACGUUGUUACCCUCUUCUUCACUUGUUAACAAUGCCAGUAAAAGGAAGUACAAACCUUUCAACUGCUUCAGUAACUACUGUAAGGAAUUAAAGUCUCGUUCAUUGAGUUUGCCAUCAAUUCUACUACUGAUUUAUGGUCUACCAAUAGCAGUUAGCUAUUCAUUUUUUGAAAUCUUUUUCAGAAAUUUUUCCCGCAAUCCAUACAACCAAUGUGAAUCUAUUAAAUCUAUUGAAUCUGUAAAUGAUACAGUUUUUUAUAACAUAGGAGUUAUAGUAGGAAAUGCUAUAUUUCUUCUCGCCCCUUUCUGUGGUUGGUUAUCAGAUACUAAGAUUGGUAGGGGUAAUGCUAUUUAUCUUGGUCUAUGGCUUGGUUGGAUAGGCACUUUACUCUGGGCUAUAGGAUGCUGUUUGCAAUAUAAUUCAUGUGGUGCUACUGCUCUGGUAGGAAGAUAUAUGUUUUUUACUGUAGCUUUUGUUUUCAUGUUAGUAUCAUUGUCACUCAUGUAUACUAAUAUUUUACCAUAUAAUUUAGAUCAAAUGAUGGAUGAAUCAGCUGUUAGAAUUAGAGCAUUCAUUCACUGGUUUAUGCUGUGUCUUUAUAGUGGCUAUGUCUCUUCAGUUUUAUCAGAUGAACUCAUCAUUUCAGUUGUGGCUUUUGCUCUCUUUUCUUUUUGUCUUUGUCUUCAUUUUCUUUUUAAGCAUCGUUUUGAGCACAUACCUAUUCCUAAUCCUUAUAAAAUUGUAUUUAAAGUUUUGAAGUUUUCUCUUAAAACUAGUCGCACUAGAAGACAGCAUCGUAGUGCAUUUACAUACUGGGGAGAGGAGCCCAGUAGAAUGGAUCUUGCUAAGGAGAGGUAUGGUGGUUGUUUUUCUCAUGAAGAAGUGGAAAAUGUAAAGACUUUUCUACGUAUUGCUGUUGUUUUGGCUACUUCUUUCUCCCUAUUUGUCCCCAUUGUUCCAGUUUUGAAUAGUUCCUCAAAUUUUGUUGCACAGUUUAAACAUGGUUAUGAAGGUUUGAAUGGAAAUGCUAAAAGUGUUCUUUGGUUUCUUAGCAACAUCAUUCCUUUGUUUGUUCUAAUCCCUUUGUUUGAACUAGUUAUUUUACCUCUUUUUCCUAAAUUAGAAUAUUUUCUGAGUAAACCUUUGAGAGGACUUGGCUUGGCUAAUGUUCUCAUCCUAUUAUCUAUUCUAAGUUUAUUUCUCAUUGACUUGAUUGGAAGAAUUGCUAGUAGCAUUACAUGUACUUCUAAAAUGCCUUGCUUCUUCAUUUGGAAAUCAGUCCAUCCAACAAUUGAUAUUUCCUAUUGGAUACUACUCAUACCAUCAGUUUUAGCUGUCAAGCUCCUUUUGGUAUGCAUGGAAUAAUUUUUGGACUAUUCUGGUUUGUACAUGCUUUCUAUAUUGACACUGGUUCAGGGUCAGGGAUACUGAUCUUGGUCUACGUGCAGCAGUAGAAGAACACUGGGAGAAUAGACUAAGGUCAGGAAAUGCCAUAACUGAUAUUGA
rnacentral:misc_RNA from 1 species